GCGGCCAUGGUGAAAUUGGUAUACACGUAAGUUUGAGGGACUUAUGGAUGAUUCCGUGCCGGUUCAAGUCCGGCUGGCCGCACCA
rnacentral:tRNA from 2 species